AUCACGUGCUAGCCCCCAAAUGUAUGUUUUAAUGUGGACUCUCUUGAUCUUAAGAGCAGGCAACCAAUGAAAAGAGAAACAUUGUGAAGUACAAACAAAGCAGGUCUGUAGGGUGAGCCAUAUGGGCCACCACUUCGCAGCCUCUGAUCUAAUCUCAGUAGUGGGCUGAACAGGAUUCUAACCUGUAGAUCAUGGUGAUUUGCAAUGUCAGGCUAAAUAGUUGGGAGUGAAAAAGGGAGACAGCAGGGGAGGAUCUUGCCUGAACACGCCCACUGACACUCCCCCUGUCUCUGAGUAGCAGCUAACACAGUGCUGUCUCACUACCAUCCUGCUCUGCAGGACCCUAGGACAUGAGCCCAAGCUCACCUGCCUUCUCUGGUAGCACAGUGAUAGCAAUUGGGGCUUUGAAGGCUUUCAUCAGAAACUUGUGGGCGGAAACUUCCAGGGGUUUACUCUGAGCUUCUUGAGGCUUCUCAGCCUCAGAUGCAAAGUGAGUGGGUGUCUCUGUGAGAAGCAGAAAAAACGAAAGAAAGAGAGCGGGAGAGAGGUGUUCCCCUCGACUGUGGAAACUCUAUAAAGAGAGACCAGCCUCCCUUCUCUCGAGCAGUCAGCACCCGCAGUCCCAUCCUUGACCCCUCAGCUCUACAGAAGUGAGAAGUAAAACCCUGAGCCAUGCAGCAGCCCUUCAAUUAUCCAUAUCCCCAAAUUUACUGGGUGGAUAGCAGUGCCAGCAGUCCCUGGACCCCUCCAGGGUCAGUCCUCCCCUGUCCAUCCUCCGUGCCCAACAGGCCAGGCCAAAGGAGGCCACCGCCGCUGCCGCCAGCACCACCACCACCACUGCCCCCACCGCCACCUCCAGCGCUGCCCCCACUGCCUCCUCCACCUCUGAAGAAGAGAAGGGAGCACAACCCAGGCCUCUGUCUCCUUGUGAUGUUUUUCAUGGUUCUGGUGGUCCUGGUUGGAAUGGGCCUGGGGAUGUUUCAGCUCUUCCACCUACAGAAGGAACUGGCCGAACUCCGAGAGUCCACCAGCCAAAGGCACACAGUAUCAUCUUUGGAAAAGCAAAUAGGUGGCCCCAGUCCUCCUUCUGAAAAAAAGGAGCUGAGGAAAGUGGCCCAUGUAACAGGCAAGCCCAACUCAAGGUCCAACCCUCUGCAAUGGGAAGACACCUAUGGAGUUGCCCUGAUCUCCGGAGUGAAGUAUAAGAAGGGUGGCCUUGUGAUCAAUGACACUGGGCUGUACUUUGUGUAUUCCAAAGUGUACUUCCGGGGUCAGUCCUGCAACAACCAGCCCCUGAGCCACAAGGUUUACAUGAGGAACUCUAAGUAUCCCCAGGAUCUGGUGCUGAUGGAGGGGAAGAUGAUGAACUACUGCACCACUGGCCAAAUGUGGGCCCGUAGCAGCUACUUGGGGGCAGUAUUCAAUCUCACCAGUGCCGAUUGCUUAUAUGUCAAUGUGUCUGAGCUCUCUCUGGUCAGUUUUGAGGAAUCAAAGACAUUUUUUGGCUUAUAUAAGCUCUAAGAAAAGCACUUUAGGAUUCUUUACAUUAUGGUUCCUUAUGACAAGUCCUGAGAAUGUUGUCUUGAUUGAGGAUCUUCUUAAGCCCACGUAGAGUCAAGUGAGAAGACAUGAGCCAAGAGGACCUUGAGACCAUGGGGCACAGCAGGUCUUCAGUUCCUCAUCUCUUCUGAGGCCCAUGAGCCAGACAGAAAGAGAAACAUUUCUGAAGAACACAGAAACCUGGACUGCCAUGUAAAGAUACAGAGGCAUGGAAAAGCAGCAUCCAGGAUGAAAAAGAACUUCUUGGCUCAAUCAAAAAUACAUAUCGCUAAGGCUGGGCUAAUCUGUUCUAACAAAAGACCCCUUCUGUCACAGCUGCAGCAGUUAGGCCAGCAUCGAUAGAGGUUGCAGCAGUCCACGGCAUCCUCCAGGAUCCAUAUCAUUUCUUUAUAUGUCAGACGGAAGAAUUACAUGGAAGUAUGAUGAAGAAUACCAAUUCUGACAUUUCCUCUAGAAUGCAAUUUUUUAAAAGUUUAUUUCUUUAUUGAGAGAGAGAGAGAGACACCCUCAACAGAAUCUCCCCACACCGCAAUCCCUUCCCCCAAACAGCCUCCCCGUCAGAAUCACAGAAGUGCCACGGAGCCCAGCGCAUUCAGGUGGGCUCAGGCUCCAAACCUGGGGUAUUUCUACAUGGCUUCAGCAUUGCACAGCAACACCUACUGCCGGCACCACGCUUCAGGAGUUAAUACCACAAAGAGGUCUUCUGACUCCUCACUGAUCAGCGCUAUAUAGAUGUCUGGGUCAGGCAAGUCUUACGGUGUACUAUGCUGGAGACAGACACAAAGCUGAAUUUCAACCAAACCAUAACCACUGGGUUGCAGAUACUCUUCCUCCCAGCCACUUCCUGUGCUCAUGGGGAAUAAACCAGAAUGUAGGAAAGAGACAGAAGAAAGGAGUAGUAUCAUUUCCUGUGCCGAGAUCAUGAGUCCGAGAAAAGAAUUGGCAGAGAUGAGUUCUAACUCUCCCAGUGAGCGUGCUAGCACGUUGGUCUUGACCAAGCAGAAUUAAGUUAUCCUGGACAUUGGAAGGUACUUACUGGGCCAGUAGGUGACGUGGAGUUUAAGGCACUGGAUCCCACACGACUGACUGU